UUCAAGUAGGGGUUAGAAUAUUUCAAUUCUUUAAAACAAAGUCAAUAAAUGAAGAUGGUGGCAUCAACAAAGCUGAGAGGAACAGAAUCUUCAAAGAGAAGAUUUACAUAGCUACCCUUAAGUGUAAUGCAUCUCUAGUUUUUGCAGCUAUUGGUGGAGGAAUUGGUGCAACUCUUUGUCGUCCUUCGGUUGGUCAAUGGAUCGGGUGUGUUGUUGGUGAUUUGACUGGCCCAGUUAUUGUAGCAGUGGUUGCUAAUAGAGCUUUUGACUGGAACCUCUAAUAUUGUUUAUGGUUUUUUUUAAUUUAUUUUCUAUAAUUGAAUUCAAAUAAGAGUGUAGUCCUUGAAUUUUUAUACAUUAUCAUUUAUAUUUUCUUUAAAUGCAUUAUUGUUGUUUGAGUGA